CGGUGAAAUGCGUAGAGAUCUGAAGGAAUACCGGUGGCGAAGGCGGCCCCCUGGACAGAUACUGACACUCAGAUGCGAAAGCGKGGGAGCAAACAGGAUUAGAUACCCUGGUAGUCCACGCCGUAAACGAUGUCUACUUGGAGGUUGUGGCCUUGAGCCGUGGCUUUCGGAGCUAACGCGUUAAGUAGACCGCCUGGGGAGUACGGUCGCAAGAUUAAAACUCAAAUGAAUUGACGGGGGCCCGCACAAGCGGUGGAGCAUGUGGUUUAAUUCGAUGCAACGCGAAGAACCUUACCUACUCUUGACAUCCAGAGAACUUUCCAGAGAUGGAUUGGUGCCUUCGGGAACUCUGAGACAGGUGCUGCAUGGCUGUCGUCAGCUCGUGUUGUGAAAUGUUGGGUUAAGUCCCGCAACGAGCGCAACCCUUAUCCUUGUUUGCCAGCGAGUAAUGUCGGGAACCCCAGGGAGACUGCCGGUGAUAAACCGGAGGAAGGUGGGGACGACGUCAAGUCAUCAUGGCCCUUACGAGUAGGGCUACACACGUGCUACAAUGGCGCAUACAGAGGGCAGCCAACUUGCGAAAGUGAGCGAAUCCCAAAAAGUGCGUCGUAGUCCGGAUUGGAGUCUGCAACUCGACUCCAUGAAGUCGGAAUCGCUAGUAAUCGUGGAUCAGAAUGCCACGGUGAAUACGUUCCCGGGCCUUGUACACACCGCCCGUCACACCAUGGGAGUGGGCUGCAAAAGAAGUAGGUAGUUUAACCUUCGGGGGGACGCUUACCACUUUGUGGUUCAUGACUGGGGUGAAGUCGUAACAAGGUAGCGCUAGGGGAACCUGGCGCUG
rnacentral:rRNA from 1 species